rnacentral:lncRNA from 1 species
GCAGUGUGUCUGUGCCUGCAAAGCCUGAAAGGAGACCUUCUCUUCCACCUUCUAAACAAGCUAACAAGAAUCUGAUUUUGAAGGCUAUAUCUGAAGCUCAAGAAUCCGUAACAAAAACAACUAACUACUCUACAGUUCCACAGAAACAGACACUUCCAGUUGCUCCCAGAACUCGAACUUCUCAAGAAGAAUUGCUAGCAGAAGUGGUCCAGGGACAAAGUAGGACCCCCAGAAUAAGUCCCCCCAUUAAAGAAGAGGAAACAAAAGGAGAUUCUGUAGAAAAAAAUCAAGCUGAGAUGAGUGAACUGAGUGUGGCACAGAAACCAGAAAAACUUUUGGAGCGCUGCAAGUACUGGCCUGCUUGUAAAAAUGGGGAUGAGUGUGCCUACCAUCACCCCAUCUCACCCUGCAAAGCCUUCCCCAAUUGUAAAUUUGCUGAAAAAUGUUUGUUUGUUCACCCAAAUUGUAAAUAUGAUGCAAAGUGUACUAAACCAGAUUGUCCCUUCACUCAUGUGAGUAGAAGAAUUCCAGUACUGUCUCCAAAACCAGUUGCACCACCAGCACCACCUUCCAGUAGUCAGCUCUGCCGUUACUUCCCUGCUUGUAAGAAGAUGGAAUGUCCCUUCUAUCAUCCAAAACAUUGUAGGUUUAACACUCAAUGUACAAGACCGGACUGCACAUUCUACCAUCCCACCAUUAAUGUCCCACCACGACAUGCCUUGAAAUGGAUUCGACCUCAAACCAGCGAAUAGCACCCAGUCCUGCCUGGCAGAAGAUCAUGCAGUUUGGAAGUUUUCAUGUACUGAUGAAAGAUACUCUACAGAACUUGUCAAAUCUUUGAAACUUGGAAUAUAUUGCUUUCAUAAUAUGAAGUUU